rnacentral:rRNA from 1 species
GACGUAGGGUCCAAGCGUUGUCCGGAUUUACUGGGCGUAAAGCGCGCGUAGGCGGUCUGUUAAGUGCACAAGUGAAAGCUCCGGGCUCAACUCGGAAAUUGCUUUGCAUACUGGCAGGCUGGAGGGACGCAGAGGUCUGUGGAAUUCCUGGUGUAACGGUGAAAUGCGCAGAUAUCAGGAGGAACACCGGUGGCGAAGGCGGGUCUCUGGGCCGAUACUGACGCUGAGGAGCGAAAGCGUGGGGAGCGAACAGG